AGGAAGGCCGGGAUGCCUUCCUUUUCUCUUUCUCUUUUCUUAGAAUGAAGUCAUAAGAAUUCCUAUCAGCAACUCUCUUAGAUCUUGAACUAAACCUGAGAGUGGCAGCUAUGAAUGGUAAACAAUAUGUACAUAUAUACAUGUAUGUAUAUAGACAUGUACAUGUAUAUAUGUGUAUAUCUAUACAUACCCAUAAAUACAUAUGUAUGUGUGUACAGACAUUCACAUACAUAUAUACAUAUACAUCAUAUAAUAUGUAAAUACAUACAUAUACAUACAUACACAUACAUAUAUUACACAUAUACAUACAUAUGUAUGCAUGUAUUUAUGCAUGUGCAUAUCACAUACCUCCCCAUAUACACAUGCACGCACACAUAUAUAUGUAUACAUAUAUAUAUUCCUGCAUUUUAAAUCAUUACAUCUUUAUUAAAGUUACAGAUAGAAUCUUAAAACAUUUUAGGAUUAGAAGACAGAAUUUCUUUCAGCAGUGACAAAUACAUAUAUAACAUAUACAUCACACACAUAUAAGUUUGUGUGUGCGUGUGUGUUUGUGUGUGUGUAUGUGCAUGCAUGUGUGUGUAUGAUUUGUGUUUAUAGCACCUGGAAAGUUUCUUAAGACACAGCUUUCUGGGGUCCCAGACUCAGAAAUUCUGAUCUUUAAUAGCAGGUACAAUGCCUACGAUGUUGUUUUCCUUUCCCAGAUGAUCCUGAAGGUCCUUCAUUAACAAUGUGAUUUCUCUAGGGAAGCACUUUUUCUGAGGCAGGAAAAGCUUGGCACAUGGAAGAAACAGGAGGCAGGGUAGAUUUGGAGAAAGUAAAUGGUCUGAGAUAAGGUUCUCAAGGUAGGCAGGGUGUUGAUCCUACACCAGGUUAUGAGGCAGGAAAAGGAGUGAUUCUCUUCUAAGUGGCUUGGGGCAAGGAACUGACGAGUUUGUAACAUCAUAUUUUACACUGUAGAGGACAGACUAUAUAGGACCAGGACUCUGUUAGUCAGCAUGAGAAAGCCUAGUGGCUUGGUCUGCAGUGGUCACACAGAAAUGGAUCCAAGAUAUAUUUUGAAUAUAGUUUUUGAAGAUAUAUUUUGAGGUCAGAAUAAUAAGGACUUUGGUGAUAGAUUCAAUAGGUAGAAUAAAGAAUGAGGAGGCAUCAGGGAUGAUUCCCAGGUUCCUCUCUUAAACGAAUGGGUGGAAUCUUCCCAAAACAGAGUCAAAAAGAGCACUAGACCACAGCUAGAAUUAGGGAUGGUAAUUCACUAAUCCUGCUUAUGGCAAAUGGCACUUUGUGAAGAAGCCGAUGAAUUGGAUUCCCUUCCCACCCCGACCCUCAGCUAUUUAUUGCAGUUUUUCAAUCAACUUCUGGGAUAUGCCUGCCUUACCACCUUUCCUUCUCAUGCCGGAGUCUCACAUGUGGUUUAGAACUAUUUUGUCUGUUGUUGAGUGGUGAUCUGUGUGUGUGGGAUGGGUAGGGGGGUUUCUCUCUCUCCUUCUUUCUUCUCUUCCUUUUUACUAGUAUGUUGUGAGUCUUCAAUCACAGAACACAAUGACCUCUCAGACCCUCAGCCCUUUGAAGGUAUCCAGUUGUCUUGACCAAGAGGCAAAAAUAGUCCAUUUUCUGCAUGUUUCAGUUCUAAUUUGCUUCAUUAUGGAGUGACUUUCACAAGAAGAUGUUUUUCUUCUUGUCUAUACUCCUGUGUAGGUUGAUGUCAUUAUGCAGGUGAAGGUAGGUACAGGAUAGAACGAGGCCUGUCAUUGGAUGAGAAGGAAGGGGGCUGGGGAGAAAAGUUUUAGAAGAGGAGGAGACUGAGGAAGGUGGAGGGAGCAGCUGCACAUCUACAGGUUGUUAUGGCUAUUCUUAAGGGAUGGGUGUAUACAGGAUUUUGUGUGUCUAGAUGAACAAAAUAUAUCUUCUCUAGGUGGACAAUUAUAUUUGAUCAAUUGGAUCAGAGGUUAUUGUGUUGUGUGUUCUUUCAUGUGGAGAUUUGAGUUCAAGAGAGUCUGUGGUGGCAGGACACUGUGUCUGCCAUGGAAUUGGGAUGUAUAUGUCUAGCAUGGUGGCAACCUGCCUUGGAAACUAGAUGGGUAGAGAGAUUGUUGCCAGGCUCAGAGAGUAGCCAUCCGCAGUGUGAUAUGGGAUGGAGCUUAGCGGGUGAGACACUUUGUUGACUGUGAUGAAAAUAUCCCAUAGAUGCCAUGUGGUCCUACGGUGCUGGCAUUAGUGCAGAAAUAGAAGAAACUUUAUUUUAAUUUUACUGCAAUUUUUUUAAUUGCUCCUAGAGUAACAUCUUUAAUUAAACAAACAAACAAACAAACAAACAAACAAACAACAAAGAGGAAAAGAGGUCUGUAUCAUCUGGUCUCUGCAUCUUCUAGCCAUUCUCUCUCUUUCUUUUCUCUCUGCACUAUCUAUAGUGAUUUUCUCCCUGCUCAUAACCUCAGCUUGCUUUCUCCUUCUUUGGGACCUUUGCAUAAACUAGUCACUACUUGUAGAAAGGUUCUUGGCUGGAUAAUUUUGCCAAGCCCCACUUGCUCAUGACUAUGGCUAAAUGAAUGGUAAUUCCUCAAGGGCAUCUUUGUGUAUAUCCCUAAUACUGUUCUUAUGCCCCCACAUGGGAACAUAUCUUCUUACCAUUAGUAUUAUAAAUGUGGAUUUAAUGCACAUCCUUGAUUUGUUUUUUCUCAUUUAAUUAUCCAUGGCUACUUAUUUAUCAUUUUUCUGCUUUAAUGGAUUAUAAAUGCUAUUCAGGGAAUAUACCUGUAUAAUUCAUGUUGUACACCACUGGUACCUACCCUACAAUCAGGCUUAUGGCAUAAGCUCAUUAAAUAGUCCUUGGAUUUGUGGGGAUGGAGUAAACUCCUGUGAGAGUAAGUAUUCAUGACAUUACUCAGGUAAGGCUUAGGGGAGUGGCAACUCCUUCUCAUACUCAUUCAAGAAUGGAUGUUGAACCCACUUCCACUUUUGUGCUGUAUGUAAUAAAUAUGCUGCGUCUGACCUACUGGAAUAUCUCUCUCCAAGUGCACAAUCCACCUGAUCCCAGAUUUACACUACUUAGGUCUGCCUUUCCUAAUCUCCUUUUACUCCCAGUCAUGUUUCCAGGACUGAGCUGAACGGACUCUCACAUGAAUUCAUGGGUUGAUUUCAAUGUUUUGGGUGUAUUUAAUUUUUUCAUUGCUAGAAGAAGCAUUAUCACAGGCUUUUAAUUGCUCUUAUAUUUGCAGCAUUUUUCAUACACCGAUGUAUUUGGUGGUUGCAUGCUAUACUUGAAGUUUGCUCGUCUGUGGAGUCAACCCAUUGUGGAUCAAAAGUACUCGGGGUACUUUUGUGGAGCUGGGGAUCGAACCCAGGGCCUUGCGCGAGCUAGGCAAGCGCUCUACCACUGAACUAAAUCUCCAACUGUGCAAGUGUAUUAUUUAUGUUUUGUUGCUGUGCCCAGACAGCCAGCAAGAAACAACUUUGGAGAGGGAGUGUUUAUUUUGGCCCACGUGUGAGGCACAGUACAUCACUGUGGGGAAGGCAGGACUGAAGGAGUGUGGGAUGACUGGUCACCUUGUGUCCACAGCUGGAAAGCAGAGAACUGAAUGCUGGUACUGUGUUGGCUCUUCCCAUUUUCAUUCUACACAAGACGCUAGGUUAUAUGCUGGUGCCAUCCACCAUCCAGGGUGGGUCUUUCCUCUUCAGUUAAACUCCUUCGGAAAUGCUCUCAUGGACACACCCUGAGGUGUGUCUUCUAGGGAACUCCAAUCCAGUAAAGUUAAAAAGAAGAUUGAAUGGUGCAAGAAAGUGAUGCUGCAUUUCUGCAGAAGGAUCUUUAGGAGCACAGCAGAAAAGCAGAGUCUUCCAGUUAGAAAAUCAUGAACCCGAGUUUCAAAUCUGUGCCUGAAUGCUUCAUCAGUUGUGCUCUGACUGAUUUAAACCACUCAGUCUAGUGUCCGUCUCCUACAACACACGUUCCAGUGAUUCCAAGUCCAUUCCCUAGAGAUAAAAGUACUAGAGAUGACCAACUUACAAAUAGCAUGGAUUGAUUUUGCUUCACAGUUUUGGAUGCUUCUGCCCAUGGUCACUUGACCCUGCUGCUUUUAGGUCUGAGACAAGAAAAGUCACUAAUAAGCAUAUAUUAAAGCAACCCAAGUGCCUUAUAGGCAGGAACAAAACGGAUACAGGAAAAGACCAAUUUACACUCUCCUUGGAAGGUGCACCACCAAUGACUUAAAUACUACCAUUAGGCUCCUCCUCUUAAAGUUUCUACCACCUUCUAGGGUGCCAAGCUGAGGACCUAUGUUAUUAUAUGCAACUUUUGGGCACACUAUUGAUCUAACCACCGUAAAUAGAGAACAGAGAUCUAACCAUUGACAAUAUGACUUGAAAGAGCUGGGUGUCAGAUAAAACACCAAGUGAAACCUGACUCUGGCAUAGAACUGUGGUCCAUUUUAUUGUUGUUUAAAAGCUUUCGGGGCAUGGGGAGGGCUGGAGUGAUGGCUCAUCAGCUAAGCAGCUGCUCUUCCAGAAGACCCAAGUUCCGCUCCCAGAACCUACAUUGGACAGCUCACCAUCACCUGUAAUUUCAGUUUUAAGAAUUACAACACCCUCUUAUGGUCUCAAAUUCCUACCCACAAGCAUGUGGCAUAUUUAUAGAGAUAUACACACAGAGAUGAAAAUAAAUGAAUAAAAAGCUGUUUAUAUUUUUGAUGUAGAAAAACUCACAUACACAGCAAGGUUAGAACAGGAACAUGACACGGGUAUAUUUAUAGUCACUUAACACUGUCACAUGUCCUAUGGAUCACUCCUGACUGAUCAAACUGACCACUCAUUUCUAAAUGCUGCAUUAAGUACUUCCAAAAGAUAAACAGACAGGGGCUGAGUUUGCCCAUUAUACAAAUUCACAUCACCAGUAUCUCAUCUGAAGACAAUGUCCUAUUUCACGCUACUAUUUCAGAGAGUAGAUUUGAGGAGAAGCUUGCAAGAGCUACAUGCUGGAGCCGGAAAGAUGGCUUAGCCGUUAAAGGCUAGGCUCAGAACCAAAAAGAUAUGAGAUACAUUCUGAUAAGAACUGAGUGAAAAGCAAGGGGCCAAAUCAAAAGAAACCAGACACUGGAAUAGUAGACAUUGUGUGGGGCAGUGUGUGUGGGGGAGGGUAUCGAACACGCACAUAUGGGUGUGUGCAUGUGUGUGCACAAGUGUGAGUGCCUGUGUGCAUGUGCAUACUCGUGCAUGUGCACAUUUAAUUGAAUAAAUAGAUUAAGUUUAGCAGGAGUCAGGUCUGUUUGGUGUAUAUCUGUGAUCUUAGCACACAGGAGGCAGAAGUAAGAUCAUGAGUCCCAGGCCUGACAAAGUAUCUGCCUCAAAACCAACAAAAAUUUAAUUUGCUGUAGGGAGAAAGGGAUUCUUCACAAUAAUUUCUGGUUGUUUCCUAUAAAAUAGUAAGUUGGCAGAAGAGAUUUCUAAGAAAAAAAAAUCCUGUGCUUUGGGCCAAAGAAAUGCUGGGCCUUUUCUUUCUUAGUUAACAGGGUGAAUCCAUGAGGGAGUGAACCUGUUCAUGUUGUACAUUAUAAACACAGCCACCAACAAACGGUUUAACCUAUACUAGGACUUGGCCAACUUUGGGCUCCCUUGAAUUUCUUCAUGGAGUUGCUGAAUUCACUUAGUGUUUGUUGAGGCUCAGCCUGGCUGGCCUAUCGUAUGGCUUGCCAGACCCCAGAGUCCAGAGCCUAGAAAUGUUAUUUCUCUUUUGAAAGAGCCUCUCUACUAAAGUGUUUUUGAAUGAAGAGACCAAAACACUUUCAAAACCAUCGAAUGAGCUCACAGCACUCUGCUGAGUACCUCUGUGCUGGCUUGUUCCUUCCCUGGGUACAGCUCCCACAGACAGACAGCGGAACAGCAUGAAUGCCUCUUUGCUUCAGCUUGCAGCCCAACGGCCAUCUGCAGGCAGGCCUGUGCCAACCGCUCCCCUGCCCAUUUGAAAUUUAAAUCCUUCAAAUAAGUCUCAGUGUCACCUUUGUCCAGACGCCUCAAAAGCCCAGGCUCAUGUCUGUCUGCUUGAAAUGAUAAAGACCCACAUGACUGUGUAGGAAGAUAAACUGGGGCGAAAUAAAAUCCAGGGUGGUAGUUAAAUAAAUCCAGAGAAACCAAGACACUUGCUACAAAGCUGAGAUCCUGUCCUCACCUCACCUCGCAGGGAGACGUGAAGGCUCGGGAACAGAAGCUACUUGCUGGGAGCCAACACCCAACAGUCAAUGUCUUGGAUGUAUUUUGCUAUUUGUACUUAAAAGCAAUGUAACUUCAUUAAUUUGUAGGCUUUAAUCUACCCAGUGCUCUAGGAAUUUGGAAAAGUGCAUCUAAAGGUAAAGCUGUUUGGGUGGCGGGCAGGGGUGGGGGAGUGGGAGGUGGGGUUGGGCUUGCGUAUGCACACACGCACACUAGAAUGGGGGUGUUGGAUCUCUUCUGUGAUCACUUUCUACUUUAUUUUGUUUUUCCUUGUAUCUGAGGUAAAGUCUCUCACUGAGCCCCAAGCUCAUCAAUUUGGCCCAACUGACUAGCCAGCAGGCCCCAGAGAUUAUCUUAUCUCUGCCUUCCCCAUGCUAGGAGUACAGACAUGUGUCUCUGUCUGGAUUUUUUUAUAGCGUUCUGUGGGAUCCCACUCAGGUCUUCACAUGCAAGUACUAAGCACUUCACUGACUGAACCAUCACUCCUAUUCAAGCCUAGGGGGUUUUAACUAACAUGAGAACCGUGGGUUCAUUUUCCAGUCCAGCAACUUAUUGGUUAUAUGGCCUUGGUCUUGGCAAACUCCCUAAGCAUCUUGGCGCUGCGUUUUCCAACUCCGUGAAAUGGGAGCGUAGCUGUGGACUACAGAAUGGUUAUAUGGAAGAUGCUGAAUAUUUUAAAGAUACUGUAUAAUAGAAGCUUUAAAAGGAAGAAAUAACUCGGAGGAGCAAUGUAGCUACAUUUGAUAACUGAGGAGAAGCCUGCUUGAUAUCAGUGACUUAAAUGGAUUUAAGAUGUUUUCCUUGGUGCCAAAAACUCGUAGGGGAUGAAUUGAGAAUGAAUGAUGUCGGACAAGAAGAAACACGGAAACAAAGCAACCAAGCGAUAUUAGAUCAAACCAUGUGUCCUUAAGCAAGGGUAAGCUUCAUAUGAUGACUUUUUUCCCUUCGUUAAUAAAAUGGGGACAGCAAUCAGACCUACCUCAGAGACAUCUUGUGAAAACUUGGAGAUCUGAUGGGUAUAGCAUUUGGCCUAGUGUCUGGCACACAGGGAGUUCCAUAAAUUUUAUUUCUCUUUCAAAGUGACAAUUUAAAUGUCACUUCCUCAAUAAAGAUAGUAAAAUCCUGA